rnacentral:tRNA from 1 species
AAUUUUAUAGUUUAAAAAAAACAAUGAUUUUGUAAAUCAUAAAUAAAAUUAAAAUUUUUAAAAUUA